rnacentral:piRNA from 1 species
UCCUUUUUAAUGCCUGGAUUGACUUUGUGU